AGAGUUUGAUUAUGGCUCAGGAUGAACGCUAGCGACAGGCUUAACACAUGCAAGUCGAGGGGCAGCAUAAAAGUAGCAAUACUUGGUGGCGACCGGCGCACGGGUGAGUAACGCGUAUGCAACCUACCUAUCAGAGGGGAAUAACCCGGCGAAAGUCGGACUAAUGCCGCAUAAAACAGGGACACCGCAUGGUGAUAUUUGUUAAAGAAAUUCGCUGAUAGAUGGGCAUGCGUUCCAUUAGGUAGUUGGUGAGGUAACGGCUCACCAAGCCGACGAUGGAUAGGGGAACUGAGAGGUUGGUCCCCCACACUGGUACUGAGACACGGACCAGACUCCUACGGGAGGCAGCAGUGAGGAAUAUUGGUCAAUGGGCGGGAGCCUGAACCAGCCAAGUCGCGUGAAGGAAGAAGGAUCUAUGGUUCGUAAACUUCUUUUGCAGGGGAAUAAAGUGCAGGACGUGUCCUGUUUUGUACGUACCCUGAGAAUAAGGAUCGGCUAACUCCGUGCCAGCCGCAGC
rnacentral:rRNA from 1 species